CAACUUCGGGGCAGCGCACUCCUCCUCCCAGCGCGCCUCGAUGGGAUUGGCAACACUCCUCCUCCCAGUUGCCAAUCAGAACAAGCAACGCCCGUCGGACCUCCUCCCCUGACGGGCGUUGUUU
rnacentral:sRNA from 1 species